GGAGAGAUGGUCGAGCUGGCUUAAGGCACCGGUCUUGAAAACCGGCGUACCUCUACGGGUACCGUGGGUUCAAAUCCCACUCUCUCCGCCA
rnacentral:tRNA from 2 species